rnacentral:rRNA from 1 species
GUCCAGACUCCUACGGGAGGCAGCAGUGGGGAAUAUUGCACAAUGGGGGAAACCCUGAUGCAGCGACGCCGCGUGAGUGAAGAAGUAAUUCGUUGUGUAAAGCUCUAUCAGCAGGGAAGAAAAUGACGGUACCUGAGUAAGAAGCCCCGGCUAACUACGUGCCAGCAGCCGCGGUAAUACGGGGGGUGCAAGCGUUGCCCGGAAUCAUUGGGCGUAAAGAGUUCGUAGGCGGCACGUAAAGUCUGGUGUUAAAGGCAGAGGCUCAACUGCUGUACGGCUCUGGAGACUUGCGAGCUAGAAUGCGGUAGAGGGAAAGGGAAUUCCUGGUGUAGCGGUGAAAUG